rnacentral:rRNA from 1 species
AUAUCAAUAAGCGGAGGAAAAGAAACCAACAGGGAUUGCCCUAGUAACGGCGAGUGAAGCGGCAACAGCUCAAAUUUGAAAUCUGGCCCCCCGGCCCGAGUUGUAAUUUGUAGAGGAUGCUUCUGGGUAGCGACCGGUCUAAGUUCCUUGGAACAGGACGUCAUAGAGGGUGAGAAUCCCGUAUGCGACCGGCCCGCGCCCUCCACGUAGCUCCUUCGACGAGUCGAGUUGUUUGGGAAUGCAGCUCUAAAUGGGAGGUAAAUUUCUUCUAAAGCUAAAUACCGGCCAGAGACCGAUAGCGCACAAGUAGAGUGAUCGAAAGAUGAAAAGCACUUUGGAAAGAGAGUUAAAAAGCACGUGAAAUUGUUGAAAGGGAAGCGCUUACAACCAGACUUUGGGGCGGUGUUCCGCCGGU